rnacentral:rRNA from 1 species
CCUACGGGGGGCAGCAGUGGGGAAUAUUGGACAAUGGACCAAAAGUCUGAUCCAGCAAUUCUGUGUGCUUGAUGAAGGCCUUCGGGUUGUAAAGAGCUUUAAGUAGGGAAGAAGAAAGUGACGGUACCUACAGAAUAAGCGACGGCUAAAUACGUGCCAGCAGCCGCGGUAAUACGUAUGUCGCAAGCGUUAUCCGGAAUUAUUGGGCAUAAAGGGCGUCUAGGCGGUUUAGAAAGUCUGAUGUGAAAAUGCGGGGCUCAACCCCGUAUUGCGUUGGAAACUACUAGACUAGAGUAUUGGAGAGGUAAGCGGAACUACAAGUGUAGAGGUGAAAUUCGUAGAUAUUUGUAGGAAUGCCAAUUGGGAAGCCAGCUUACUGGACAAAUACUGACGCUGAAGCGCGAAAGCUAGGGGAGCAAACAGGAUUAGAUACCCUUGUAGUC